rnacentral:lncRNA from 1 species
GAAUGUUUGACCGGCUCAUGCACACAUAGAUGAUGUAUGAAAUUAUUAUUUCAUAUUUUUCUAGUGUUUGCAUUGCAAGUGACAUCUGGCUGACAGGAACUUGGAGAAAUGGGAUACGAAGUGAAUGCUGCAGUUACCACAAGCAUCGUAUUUAUCAAAAGGUUUAAGGAAACAGAAGGAGAAAAAAGCAACCUUACACUGUAGCGGGAAAGAGAGUUUCGCUCAACAAACAGAAGCCCUUGACUUCAGAGGUGAAUAAUCCCAGAAACAAGCUACCAAGUAAGUUCCUGAAAGCUGUGUUAUACAAUGAAAGAGAAUCAUUUAUUUUGAGUGGUUUAGAAAGAGACUUUUCUAGAGAUGAGGUUGGGAGUGGGGAGGGGUUGAAUUUGACAAAUACAUACAGUCUUAGAACUGGAAGGAGCAUAAAGGGCCCACACCAUCUGUUUCAUAGAAGAGGCACAGAAUACAUUUGCCCAAAGUUACAAGGCUAGUUCAUGUUUGAUACUUCAGGCUUUCCAAUGCCAAGUCCAGUGCUCUUUUUGGAGCCCCAAUUUAACUUGGAGAUUGCGUCCUACUUUGAGAUUUUUUUUAGGAGAAGAAGGAGAAAGAAGAAAAUAAAUACAAAG